rnacentral:lncRNA from 1 species
UUUAUUUAACAUUUAUUGAUAUCGUUAAGUAAAUUAUGACUAGAUACAAGCGAAUCUAUAGUGGAAGCAAGAGGUAAAGCGGUAGUUGAGGCUUGAAUUGUGUUUGUGGCAUUGAGGUAAGAGUUUUAUCUAACCUUAGCUCGAGGGAUUAGAAGCUGUGUCUUAUUUUCUAUAUGUUAAUUGUUGGGUAAGACGUAUAGGCAUUGUGACAAGUAUCUAUGCGUCGGUGUCAAUCAUGCCCAUGAGUCUUAUACUAUGAUUAAUGUGACUUUGUUUCGUAUUGUUAAUGUCUUAUAUGAUGAUUUUUAUUGUUAAGCAAGGCUUCUAAUGGUAAUUAAAUAUUGUAGAGCCUUGGUUCAAGUUGAGAAUUGGGUUUUGAGGUAAUUGUGAAAAAGAGAAGAGGUUUAUGAUAUUAUCUCCCUUGCUGAUAUGUUAUUGCUUUUGAUAUUGUCUCCCUUGCUGGGAUGUUAUUACUCAUGAUAUUGUUUCCUUUGUUGGGAUAUUGUUGUUAUGGUAUUGCUUCUUUAUAGGGAUCUUGUUGUGAAAUUAUUGAUUACCUUUCCCAAAUUGCUUUGUGAUUGUUGCUUGGACGAGGAAGAGCGUAAAUCACAAAGGGUAAUGCCGUGUAUGAUUUUGAGAGAGUUAAUGCACGAAGGGUGAUGCUGUACCAAUAUUAUGAGUUAAAAGCAUGAAGGAUGAUGCCGUGCUGCGUGAUGUACAAAAUCGUGCCAUGAUAUGAGUGAUAAUACCCGAAGGAUAAUUCCGCGCCAUGAUUAUAUAAGGUAAAUGAAUGAAGGGUGAUGUCGUGCCGAUUCUAUUGACUUUUAUAGUGAGGAUGAGAGUACAAGCACGAAGGGGUGAUGUCGUGCACGUGUUAUUAAGUUCUUGAUCCUUGUUGAUAGUUGAAUUAUAGCUCCCUUUACAUUCCUCUAUUGGUUUUUCUGCUAUUACCUCGUAUUCUCCGCAACAUGUUUUCCCCUGCUAUAUUUAACUGUAAAUAUUUGCCUUUAUUUCUGUUGUAUAUGAUUUAACUGCACAUGUUUAUUUGGUAGUAUGGUCCUAGCCUCGUCACUACUUCGCCGAGGUUAGGCACUUACCAGCACAUGGGGUCGGUUGUGCUGAUAAUGCACUCUGCACUGAAUGCAGUUCUAGUGCUGCAGCUUUUAGAUCACAGUGAGGUUGCUGCCUUCAGUCCAUUAGGUGACCCGGGUUAGUCCUGCAGGCGUCCGUAUGCCUUUACGUCUCCUUCUAUCUUUCCAUAUUGUUUCUUUUAUGUAUUUUAGAAACAAUGUUGUAUUUAUCUUUCGUACCCCUAUUUAUAGUAUUGUUAGACAAUCCGAGAGAUUAUGAC